rnacentral:rRNA from 1 species
UACGUAGGGGGCUAGCGUUGUCCGGAUUUAUUGGGCGUAAAGAGCGUGUAGGCGGCCAUGUAGGUCCGGUGUGAAAACUCGAGGCUUAACCUCGAGAUGUCAUCGGAAACCAUUUGGCUAGAGUCCGGAAGAGGGUAGUGGAAUUCCCGGUGUAGUGGUGAAAUGCGUAGAUAUCGGGAGGAACACCAGUGGCGAAGGCGACUAGCUGGACUGUUCUUGACGCUGAGGCGCGAAAGCUAGGGGAGCAAACGGG